CAACUUCCCUGGUUUGACCAGAAGGACCAAAUUAAAAGGCAAUGUUCUUCUGGACUACACUUUGCUUUCAUUCAGUUACUGUGGCACCUACCUGGCUAGUUACUCCUCUCUUCCAGAAUUUGAACUGGCCCUCUGGAACUGGGAAUCAAGUGUUAUUUUGUGCAAGAAGUCACAACCUGGUGUAGAUAUCAGCCAGAUGACUUUUAACCCCAUGAACUGGCACCAGCUGUGCUUGUCAAGUCCAAGUACAGUUACUGUGUGGACCAUUGAAAGAAGUAACCAGGAUCAUUAUCUCAAAUCCAAGUUGGUAAAACUACCUAUGGAAGAUGGAACAUUUUUUAAUGAAACAGAUGUAAUUUUCCCCCAGUCAUUGCCCAAGGAUCUUAUCCAUGGACCUGUGCUCCCACUGUCAGCCAUGGCCGGGCUAGUAGGCGAAGAAGCAGAAACUUUCGGGGUAAUCACCCGUCGCCUCUCCCAGUUUGCUUACAGUUCUCAUAGUCAUCCUAUGAGACAUGCAGGAUAGACAGGAUCAUCUUGGUUUAGCCCUGGACACCACAGAGAGGAAGGCUCUGGAGAUUUGAGUUUGGACCUGGGCGGAUGAUGGCGCUGACAGCAGAAACAGGGAGCCCAGAUGUGAUACCCGUUUUGGACACACUGAAUUUGUUGGGAAGGCCUGGUGGGAACUGGCCAAGCGGACCUAGCACUGGGGAGAAGGCAGGGCUGGAGACGCAGAGGUCAGAGUCAUUCCCACGGACAGGCUGAUGAGAGGGCUGGGGAGGGGACCUGUUUCGACGGAGAGGAGAGAAAGGGCAUCAGGGAAGAGAGCCGGAGAGGAAACUGACUGCCAAGAGCUGGGAGGAAGAAGACGAGCCUGAGGAGGAGCAGUCACAGAAGCAGGAGCAGGUCUGGAGAGAAGAAAAAGGCCAUGGAAAAUACGGCCUUGAAGAAAGUUUCAAAGAGAAUUUGUCAACUCUCAUUCAUUCGUCCAGCGUAUUUUUCAGGCUCCUCCUAUGCAGCAGGCACUGUUUUAGGCACUGUGGUCACGUGGUGACCAGCCAGGCAUAAUCCCUACGCCUUGGAGCUUCACUCUAUCAGGGAGACAGAGCAACACUACCACCACCACCAAGAGUAAAAAGAUCCAUUAAAUCAUUGCAAAAUGCGAUGGUUAUAACCUGAUAACUGGGGAGGGCAGGAGGUGGAGGUGAGGAUGAGGUUAAUAUAUGGUCAAUGGGGAGAUGACACCUAUGCUACAGGCAGGGUAAAGAACGUUCAGGCAGAGGGAACUGCAUGUGCAAGAGCCCUGGGGGAAGAAAAGAACUCUUAUGUUUGAGAAGCUGAAAAAAGACCCAUGUGGCUGCAGCAAGUAAAUGAGGGGACGUGCAGAGCAGGCUGGAUCAGAGAAUAGCACAUUCAGGGCCUUUGCGAUGAACCUAAGGAGUUUGAUUUAGCUAAGCUCCAAACUGCAGUAUACUAAUGUUUGUGUUUGAGCUCUAAAACACCAAUAAUGGAAGUAGAGGCUCCCAAAUAUCUUUGACCACUGCAGAGAAGGAAGCUAUAGAUACUAAAAAUAAAUCAGUGUGGUAAAUUAGUUGAUUAAAAAAUCUCUGGCAAGCAAGAGAAUAGGUGGUAUGCUCUUAGUAUUUCCUCUAAAGGAUGACAACUAUUCACUUUUAAAAUUACAGAAUAUGCCUAAUUCCUUCUAAUAGCACAGGUCUUAGCCUUGAAAUUCAGCCACAGAGCGGCAGCCAAGUAAAAAAUAGAUCAGUCAUCAAGGUUUACAACUUGAAAAAAAAGUUUCUAUGUUUAUUAUUUGAUGCCUAGGAACCCACAUUUCCAACUAUUGCAGGUCUUUUUUCCUGCAGUAAAUUUCUGUAGGAGUCCUCAUCUUUCACAUUUUGCACCAACAUGAUCAACUCUGCAUAAAAUAUUUAAAAUUCAGGCAUUUGUCCUUGUCAUUUGAAAAAUGCUAUGAAAUUCCUGCUUUAAAUAAGUGGAGUUAUCUUUUUUUUUAAUGCUCAUAAUA